ACUGUUCUGAAUUUCCACUGGCCAUUCUGCGGUUGUAAAUCGCUGAGCUUGGGUUACUCUGCUAGUAAUUGCCCGCCAUGUUUUACUAGCACUUUAAUGAUGAAUUAAGAGAUUUACAUGCGCUAUUUCAACACAAAAUGCUACGUCCUUCUAGAAUACCAUUUGUAACACAUAACUGGCACCAUUCUUUUGAGGGCUAUUAAAGCUUUCUGUUGUUUUAUAUUCUUUUCACACAGUCAUUUCAAUAAUCUAAAGCUGUGGAUACGUGUUGCCAAAAUUUUUGGCCAACAGUGUACAUUGAGAAAAAUAAAGUCAGUUAAAUAAGUGUUUGUUGAAAGAAAGACAAAUGGAAAUGAUUAUAUUUACUGAAAUUUGAGUUUUUUAAAUGAGUCCUCUGGUGCCAGGCAAACACAAACUAAGGAGUGAAAUACCCAUUUUAUUUCAGCAGCAUAUUAGAGAGGACGGACUAGUUAGACUUGGUUCAAGUCUCUUUUGCCACUUUCUAACUGUGGCUCAGACAAAUUGUAUAUUCCUUUUGAGACGCAGUGUCUACACCAGAAACAUACAUGAUUGUAUGCAUUAAAUGUCAGCAUUUACAUUGGAAGCAUACACGAUUAUAUGGAAUAAUGUCAAGGAUUAAAAUGUGAUUAAAUAAAGCACCUGGCAAAAUAUUUGGUACAUAGUAGGUAAACAAUGUUUGUAUCAAACAUUGGUAUAUAUGUACCAAAUAUAAUGUUAAUUCAGUAAACAUAAUUCCUUUGCUUUCCAUAAAAGUAACACCUAAAUCAGAGGUCUGUAUUCAGCUUGUCUUAUUUUCAGUCCUUUUGAGAGCUCCAACAUGCCUCUCGGCCCUUAGGAUUUCAGCUAAUUUUUCGUCUUUACUUAUCAGAAAAUAAUGAAGAGAUCAGUAGUGCCACACAGUAAAUUCAUUGCCUGUAAGUGUAGUGUUAGAGCAGUUUACUCGGGCAUUCCUGGUGAUAAAUGACAUAUUAUUCCGAGGUAUAAACCUAAUUAUACUUUCAGUUUGGUAUAAGUCUAAGUGGGAGUGCCCUGAGUUCUUAAUAAUGGUGUCCAUAGAUACUUUCUUUUAAAGUCCUAAAGAUACUUUCUUUUCCUUUCUUUUGUUUUUUUUUUUCUUCCCAUUUCUUUGUGAGAAUAAGAAUUAAAGCAAAUGCCUGGUCUCCAUUUCCAUUUUAUCCAAAUGCCUUUUACCCAUUCCCACCUCUUUAUUUUCAUUAAAUCCUAUAAGAUAGACAGAAAAAGAGAAAGAUAGAUAUAGAGCGUUUUUUUUUUUUUUUUUGAGGGGAAACUCCAGAAGCACUUAUUCUUUGAAAGUACAAGCUAACUUAGAUUUAAUUCAAGGUCAUACAUUAAAGUGAUGAGAUCACAAAUGUUAGAUAUAUAGAAAAAAUUGAAUGUAAAGGAAUAUGAUGUGUUAAUUCUGUCUGCUUUACAGAAAUUUGAAGAUAUUAAGAGUGUAUUAGAAAUUCCUAUGACUCACCUAGAGUCACUGAGAAAUCAUAUGCAUGUAUAUGAUUUUAAAAGGACUUCACAAUUAAAUACAGGAAGAUGGAUAAUAUGAAGCUUUUGCUUUCAAAAUCUUAUAAAGGUGCAGCAAGUGUGGCAAUAAGCAGACUGAGGAAGGCAUAAAGGGUCUGAUGUGAAGCAGAGAAGGCAGAGGUGGCUGAGGGUUUGGAGUAAAAUCGAGAAUGGCCAUGAAGAUUUGACCAAGGAGCUCUGAGAUUGAGAAGGAAUUAGAACGAAGUCCACAGGGAAGUUGAGAAAAUUGGCAGAAAAUUUGAAGAGGAGGGUUUCAACAGGAGAUGAUCAAAAUUAAAAAAAAAAGAAAGAAAGAAAACAGAAAAAUAAGGAAGAAUUCAUUUUGAACUUCUGAAUCAUGACCUUGGGUGUCCCAGACUGAAGUAUCAGAGAGCCCAAGGUCCCAGAGGCACUGUACAGACACGAGAGCCAAUGGAACUAAGACUGUCACCCCCUCUCCAGCUUAGGUACUCAUCCAUAUGCAGUAACUGGUGUAAAUCACCAGAUGUUAUUUCCUUUGGUAGUAAAAUAUAUGAUUUAAUGUAUACAUAUAUAUUUUUUAAAAAUAGAAAUAAUUUAAAAUCAUAAGAAUACAAUUAAAAAUGAAAUAAUUGGAGCUUCCAUUUUUAUCUUCAAUAUUCAAAAAGAACUGUUUGUUGGAAACUUUUUUAACCACAUGAAAUUCUCUUGAAUGCAGUGAUUCAAAGUCAUGAAUAGUCAUACUAUAUAUAAAAUCUGCCUUAGUGGAGACCCAAGAAAAAUAAAAGCAAGCCCUUUUUAUUAACAUUUUACUUAACUUGUUUUGAAUGAAGCAGGCAUGCGUCAAGAAAAUUUCCUUGAAUUUUGUCAAAGGCUUUUUCUGCAUCUAUUGAGAUAAUCAUGUGGUUUUUGUCUUUGGCUCU